GUGCCAGCGCCGCGGUAAUACCGGCCGCUCGAGUGAUGGCCACUCUUCUUGGGCCUAAAGCGUCCGUAGCCGGCCGGACAAGUCCGUUGGGAAAUCUGCGCGCUCAACGCGCAGGCGUCCAGCGGAAACUGUCCGGCUUGGGGCCGGAAGAUCCGAGGGGUACGUCCGGGGUAGGAGUGAAAUCCCGUAAUCCUGGACGGACCGCCGGUGGCGAAAGCGCCUCGGAAGGACGGACCCGACGGUAAGGGACGAAAGCCAGGGUCUCGAACCGGAUUAGAUACCCGUGUAGUCC
rnacentral:rRNA from 1 species